ACUCAAAUGAAUUGACGGGGGCCCGCACAAGCGGUGGAGCAUGUGGUUUAAUUCGAUGCAACGCGAAGAACCUUACCUACCCUUGACAUACUUGGAAGAUUUAAGAGAUUAGAUUGUGCCUUCGGGAACCAAGAUACAGGUGCUGCAUGGCUGUCGUCAGCUCGUGUCGUGAGAUGUUGGGUUAAGUCCCGUAACGAGCGCAACCCUUGCCCUCAGUUGCCAUCAUUAAGUUGGGGACUCUGAGGGGACUGCCGGUGACAAACCGGAGGAAGGCGGGGACGAUGUCAAGUCAUCAUGGCCCUUACGGGUAGGGCUACACACGUGCUACAAUGGCCGGUACAAAGGGAAGCGAAGUUGUGAGAUGGAGCCAACCCCACAAAGCCGGUCGCAGUCCGGAUUGGAGUCUGCAACUCGACUCCAUGAAGCUGGAAUCGCUAGUAAUCGUGAAUCAGAAUGUCGCGGUGAAUACGUUCCCGGGCCUUGUACACACCGCCCGU
rnacentral:rRNA from 1 species